GUCCAAUUAAUGGGUGCCCUGAGCUUCCCAUUGGGAGCUUUCUAUUUUAGUCCUUAAAUCAAUUGCCCUUACCCAUCAUCAAGACUUUGCCCUACUACUGCACCUUCCAAACAUCAAAACUUUGUUUAGUAUUUUAGGUGGUUUUUUUUUUCCAGAACUGUAGUUUGAAAAAAAUUUCUGUGGGUUGGGAGGGCACCAUUAGUUUUUAUGUU